rnacentral:lncRNA from 1 species
CUAGCUCCAUUCCACUCACUGAUGUUUUCAUAGUCUUGAUCACCAUGUGGCAUAUUACAUAUCCACUGUCCACUGUGUGUGUUUGCUACCUUCCCCUCUACAAUAUCCACUACAGAAAGGAUAGAGCUUCUGUCUCAUUCACGGCUGCAUCCCCAGGACCUAGAGGGCAUCUGGCAUACAGCAGGUGCUUACUAAAUAUCUGUUCAAUGAAUGAACAAAAGAAUCAGUGAACAGGUCCAUGAGACCACCUUGUUCCGGAGACUGGCGUUCUCUCCUGGGCUGCUCCUGGGUGCCAGCUCGGAGGACUCUGCAGCUAUGCUCUACCCUAAAUGAAAGGCACAGACACCUUCAGGAGCCAUAGUUGGAGGCUCAGGAGGCCAGCGACUCCACCAGGACCCAGGGCUGCUCAGAGGUGGCAUGGCUCCGGGAUAAAUGGUGUCUGAUGGAUUCCCAGUCAGUCAAGUCAAGCAUCUCUUAUUUGUCCGAUGCCUGCUCUGUUCUGUGACCCAUUCCUGAGCCAUCAUUGCUCCAAUGAGACCCUUCCCCCAUUUCAGGGUGACCAGCCCUCAGGAAGGCACUGACUUGUGCAGGACAGAGCCACGAGGGCAGCCCCCCUCAUGAGCGCCAUCCUGGCCUCGACCAAAAGCCCCUCCUUUCCCAGGAAGCAGCAGCUCUGGUGCCCCUGACAGGCACCUCGGACCCCACUGCAGAACCAAAGGACUCACAGGGCUAUCAUCGCAGCAUCUGUCUGACAGCUCCUCCAGCCUCAACCCAAUUAUCCUAGUGCUGUCUACUACUAAUGUUUUGGCAAAAUGGAACGUUUACUCUUUUUGCUUUGUCCCCCACCCCUGCCGCCCCGUAUCUUAGGGUUAUUUUAAUCCAUCACAGGGUCUCUUAAAACCGCCUGGAAAAGACAUCUUCUCCUCUGUCUUCCCAAAGCCACAGCCUGCUGUGAACUCUUGCACAGACAACAGAGGGCCCUGUGUCCUGCAGCCACCAGGACCACAGAGGGGCAUCAGCAGGAAAACUGCAGCACCAACCUCACAUAAUAGAAAAGAUGAACAAAAACCUGGUGGCCACAGCCUGGUUCUCGGAGGGGUGUAAUGAGGCUUCCUUGGGCCCAGGCUACACCAGGGCCAAAGCCUCCAGCAGACAGCGUUAUAUGUAAUUUUUUAACAAGGAGGCGUAUUUGUGUGUUACCUGAGUAAUUUAAAGGAAAUUUAAAAAAUAAGUCGGUGACCUGGGGAAGCCAGCAGCCAGACCCAUACACAUCAACACGUGGCAAGGCUUCUCAGGAGUGAGGCGACGCCUCUUCCCAUCACCCCCUCACCCAGUGCCAGCCCCCGCCUCUGCCCCACGUGUGGAAGCGCAGUCCCAAGGGAGCAGAGAAGAGGCUGCUGUGGCCUCUGGAAGUCCUGACACUCUGACUUCAGAUCUAAAUCACUCUUCAAAGGAAAUGUAGAAAACAGCCACCACCGCAACAAGCCAAGCAUGUGUGUGGUCGGAGGGUGGGGAAGGCAGCUAGCUUCCUCUUGGAUCUGGAGCCAAGAUCACGCCCUGAAACGGGGAAACUCCCUCCCCUCCAUCGUCAGAGGUUCCAUCACAGCCUCCACUCCUGGGAUGAGAAAAGCAAAUUGACUCUUCAUGUGUGUGGAGUUCCCCACUGACUGGGAACAAAUGCUCUCAGCAAGUCUCCAGAAAAGGGGGCCUCCCGGGCUCCCAGGGGUGUGACGUGGGGUGGGUGUGUUUUUGAUAUGGGAGUGUGGUGGUGCCAGAAUGUAAGUCAUCUGCAUACAGGCCCCAUCUCAUGCAGAAAUGUGGGAGGUGCUCACAGCCCACGAGCCUCCCUGAGGCCUGGGUGAGGCACAGAAGCCAGUUCAGUUCGUCACCAGGUGGCUGGGGAAUGGGAAUGAGGCGCUCCCUCCCUGUGGAGUCUUCAACAGUGUUGGGGGACAGCCGCAUUCACCUGAGCGUCCUCCUGAAACCUCAAGCCAGGGGCUGCUGAGCUCUGCUGGACAGAAGUGAAGGCCUCCUCACAGGGCCGGCUCCAUGGAUCUGAGAUGUGCUCCAACAACCAUCAUGAUCUUUCCAGUCAGGGAGAAGCAAACGGGAUUAACCAACUGCUUGUUUAUUGCCUACUGUUCAUGAGCAAGAGGUGAAGCAGCACAAGGUGUUCACCAGACACGGCUGCCCGAGCUUGGACUUCACAGCCUCCAGAACUGCGAGCCAAAAUAAACUUCUUUCCUUUAUAA